rnacentral:rRNA from 1 species
AUUGAACGCUGGCGGCAGGCCUAACACAUGCAAGUCGAACGAGUGGCGGACGGGUGAGUAAUGUCUGGGAAACUGCCCGAUGGAGGGGGAUAACUACUGGAAACGGUAGCUAAUACCGCAUACCCUCGGAUGUGCCCCGAUGUGAUUAGCUAGUAGGUGGGGUAACGGCUCCCCUCGGCGACGAUCCCUAGCUGGUCUGAGAGGCGGACCAGCCACACUGGAACGGAGACACGGUCCAGACUCCGACGGGAGGCAGCAGUGGGGAAGAUUGGACAAUGGGCGCAAGCCUGAUGCAGCCAUGCCGCGUGUAUGAAGAAGGCCUUCGGGUUGUAAAGCACUUUCAGCGGGGAGGCGUUACCCGCAGAAGAAGCACCGGCUAACUCCGUGCCAGCCGCCGCGGUAAUUC